AUUAGAUACCCUGGUAGUCCACGCCGUAAACGGUGGGCACUAGUUGUGGGAACCUUCCACGGUUUCUGCGACGCAGCUAACGCAUUAAGUGCCCCGCCUGGGGAGUACGAUCGCAAGAUUAAAACUCAAAGGAAUUGACGGGGCCCCGCACAAGCAGCGGAGCAUGCGGCUUAAUUCGACGCAACGCGAAGAACCUUACCAAGGCUUGACAUAUACAGGAAUAUGGCAGAAAUGUCAUAGCCGCAAGGUCUGUAUACAGGUGGUGCAUGGUUGUCGUCAGCUCGUGUCGUGAGAUGUUGGGUUAAGUCCCGCAACGAGCGCAACCCUCGUUCUGUGUUGCCAGCAUUUAGUUGGGGACUCACAGGAGACUGCCGGGGUUAACUCGGAGGAAGGUGGGGAUGACGUCAAAUCAUCAUGCCCCUUAUGUCUUGGGCUGCACGCAUGCUACAAUGGCUGGUACAAACGG
rnacentral:rRNA from 1 species